AGUGAACGCUGGCGGUAGGCCUAAUACAUGCAAGUCGAACGAGAGGCGGACGGGUGAGGGAUAGAUCAGAAACUACUUAAUCGAGGGGGAUAACGGAGGGAAACCUACGCUACUACCGCUUACGAUUGUAUGAGCUGAGGUCGGAUUAGCUAGUUGGCGGGGUAUAGGUCCACAAAGGGGACGAUCCGUAGCUGGUCUGAGAGGAUGAUCAGCCACACUGGAACUGAGACACGGUCCAGACUCCUACGGGAGGCAGCAGUGGGGAAUAUUGGGCAAUGGGCGCAAGCCUGAUCCAGCCAUGCCGCGUGGGUGAAGAAGGCUUUCGGGUUGUAAAGCCCUUUUGUUGGGAAAGCGGUACCCAAAGAAUAAGCACCGGCUAACUUCGUGCCAGCAGCCGCGGUAAUAC
rnacentral:rRNA from 1 species